rnacentral:lncRNA from 1 species
GAACAGAUGAACUCUUAAUAAGUAGGAGGCUGCUAGCAUACAAAUGCACGUGAGAAGGGGUCAGAGAAAGGGAGAAUAAGAAAAUAAGCCUUUGGUGCUUAAAAAUAUCUGUAAUGUACAUUGUGUCUCCCAAGUGGUCUUACCAACACUGUGACCUGGACUGAGGAAAAGUUAUGAGCUCAAUCUUUGAUUUUGGGCAAGAGGAGCUAAUACCUGCAGGCCUGGGCUUCCGGCAUGAGUGACAAGAUCAGGACUUUGCCUCAAUGACAGGAAGCUGUCAGUCGUGGUGUUUCAGGAUAUACUUCAAGAACAGAACACUGAGGAUAUAUAUCAACAACACUCGCUUGCUCGCUCACCAUCAGGCAACUGUAAAGAUGAAUCACACUUCAGAAGGUGCCUGUCCUUCUCAGAGUCCACUGUGGCUUCCCAAAAGUCUCAGUGCCACUGUGCUCCACAGCUAGAGAGUAGGGAGAGGUCACAGUCUGGACACCAAAGCAAUACAGGACAUCCUUUUUCUCAAGAAUAGUCAUGCACUUUGGGGAGUGACAAGGACAGACACUGAGUAUAGCAAAGGUAAAGAGAGGAAGAGGAGCUGGCGUGGCAUUCAUCACAGCUGUGUGUUUCUAAGGUCUUUUUUGAGGUUGUUGGAAAUCCAGGGGAGGAAUGACAUAUAGAACAUGAAGAGCUGCACAGGGCAGCCCAGAUGACAGCAAACUGACAUUUCCUAUCCAUGUGAAAGCACAAGUUAAACUC